GACGAACGCUGGCGGCGUGCCUAAUACAUGCAAGUUGAGCGCUGAAGGAUGGUACUUGUACCAACUGGAUGAGCAGCGAACGGGUGAGUAACGCGUGGGUAAUCUGCCUUUGAGCGGGGGACAACAUUUGGAAACGAAUGCUAAUACCGCAUAAAAACUUUAAACACAAGUUUUAAGUUUGAAAGAUGCAAUUGCAUCACUCAAAGAUGAUCCCGCGUUGUAUUAGCUAGGUGGUGAGGUAAAGGCUCACCAAGGCGAUGAUACAUAGCCGACCUGGGAGGGUGGUCGGCCACCAUGGGACUGGGACACGGCCCCAGCUCCUACGGGAGGGAGCAGUAGGGAAUCUUCGGCAAUGGACGGAAGUCUGACCGAGCAACGCCGCGUGAGGGAAGAAGGGUUUCGGAUCGUAAAACUCUGUUGGUAGAGAAGAACGUUGGUGAGAGUGGAAAGCUCAUCAAGUGACGGUAACUACCCAGAAAGGGACGGCUAACUACGUG
rnacentral:rRNA from 1 species